UGCGUGCUUAUGUGAAUAUAUAGAAAACCUUUAAAUUUGGGUGUCUCUGAUGCUCUGAUACAAAUCUAAUCCUCACCUUCAGAAUCCUGCUAAAAGCCAACAAGAAUUUUAGGCAAAAUUCAAGAGAUAAAUGAUAUUCAAUGAAUUAGAGCCUUGUCCGUACCUAUCCUUACCAUCAAAAUCUCAAGAUAUUUUUGUUUACAUAAAACUGAUUUUUUUCCCACUUUGAUUGGAUGCCGUCAAGUUAGGAGACCACAAUUUUGACUUCUGAUUGGACCCAUGUGUGACGGAAAUCCCAAACCUGUGUAUUCAACUACUUACUUAUGUAGUAUAAUAGCCUAGAAUUUACAUUCAUUUAUUUUUUCAGUCCAAAUGAUCCAGUUAUAUACCUCAUUGCUUUACUAUAACAAUAUUUCUGCGUGGGACACAUGUUCUUGCACACCAAAACUGGUACCUGCCACCUUUAACCACUUAAUGGAAAGAACAUAUUUCCAUUUUGUUAGUCUGAUUGAGUUCUGUAGUCAUUUACCAUUAAAAAAACAUGCAGUUCAUAUGGUUACAGCAUAAAAAAAAUCAUACAUAGUUGUAAGACCAAAUUUAUUAAAGCAAUAUUUUUGUCUUUUGCCGUCAAACUGCUUUGAACGACAAAAAAUUAGAAAAAAAUGAUUGUGUUCAUAUUUAAUAAAUUCUAUUGUGUGAGUUUUCUGGUACAGUGUAUGAAUUAUCCAACAGUUCUCAAAAAUUCUUUAGUUUAUUGUUUUAUAACAUGAUAUAAAACCACUUACAACUGAUCUCAAGAAGUAUUUUUCCAUUGUCCGAGGUAUUAAAUAGUCUCCAAUCUUGUCACUAUCAUUGUUCUGUUGACUGCAGUGCUGAAAAAGGCUUAGUUAUGAAUAAACUUUUUUUUUUGGUACAUAUGUAUCACUUUGUAGAUCCAUGAUGCACUAAACUAAGUUUACAUUUAUUCGCAAUCACUCUCAUAUCUCUUCUCCACAUAAGAGAGCUGUGUAGGCCGCAAGUUAAAAUUUUAGAAUUGCCACACUAUUCCUGAUGAGAGAGACCAGUUUACUUAUUUCUGUAGCCUGUCCCACUGUACUAACUAUGUAUUAGACCUAUAAAAAAAGAAGAAUUCAUAUAUUCAUAGUUAAAAAAUAAAUAAAUACGAAAAUGUCCAUAUCAUGUGAAAUAAAUCAUUAUACAUGUUAUAACAGGUAAUAUACAGUAUAUUCAGCUUUUCUUAGUAUUAUGCUGAGACUUAUUUUACUUUUUUUUCUCUUUGUAAUUGCUUUUUCUUUAUAUUUUAUGAUAUAAAAUCAUUCUAUGGUGAAUAUAAUCAUUUUAAAACUAAUCAAUUGAAUGUCAUUGUUUGUCAUAGGAUACAGAGUUAUAUAUCUUGAUAUUUGAUCAUUCUUAAAAUCCAUGUAAAAAUUAUAUGCUUGCAAACAGACCUAUACAUUGGCUGUGAAUAAAAGAAACAUAACACCUCACCUCUAAAACUCCUAAAAAGGCACAGUUUAUCAUAUGUUAAAAUCAUGUUUAGGCUUAAGGUGGCAGAAACUAAGAUGUGUGCGUGCUAAUGUGAAUAUAUAGAAAACCUUUAAAGCUUUCAAGCUUAUAUACAAAUAAAAUGUAUGGUUUUGAUUAACUAAGAUGUGUGCGUGCUUAUGUGAAUAUAUUGAAAACCUUUAAAUUUGUGUGUCUGUCCAGCAUGCAGAAUUUAAAAUUCAUAAAUACAUUGCAAAUAAGGCAAAAAAUGUGAUGCUCUGAUACAAAUAUAAGCCUCACCUUCAGAAUCCUGCUAAAAGCCGACAAGAAUUUUAGGCAAAAUUCAAGAGAUAAAUGAUAUUCAAUGAAUUAGAGCCUUGUCCGCACCUAUCCUUACCAUCAAAAUCUCAAGAUAUUUUUGUUUACAUAAAACUGAAUUUUUUUCCCCACUUUGAUUGGAUGCCGUCAAGUGAGGAGACCACAAUUUUGACUUAUGAUUGGACCCAUAUGUGAAGGAAAUCCCCAACCUGUGUAUGCAAAUACUUACUUAUGUAAUAAUAGCCUAGAAUUUGCAUUCAUUUAUUUUUUCAGUCCACAUGAUGCAGUUAUAUACCUCAUUGCUUAACAAUAACAAUAUUUCCCCGCGUGGGACACAUGUUCUGGCACACCAAAACUGGUACCUGCCACCUUAUGUAUUUUUUUUAACAAAAGUGAAGUGUAGAUUUGUCACCCUUAUAAUACAGAGGUUAAGUAUUGAAAUGGCUAGCGUUUCAAGACGUCAGGACAGAUUCAACAAACAAAAGGACGUCACUCAAAACAAUGACAGUAACGAUGGUGUAUCUAAAGACGUUAGAAUAGCAUUCAGGACGACACUAAAAGUAAAGACAGAAAUGAUGAUGCAAACACAGGAAAUAACACGCAAAACCAAUCAAGCAGGAGUCGAGCUACUUGGAAUGAACACACGAUAACCUCCAUGGGAGAUUCAACACGGCUCGGCAGUUCUCUGUAUGGAACAAACCUGUCUAAGUUAUAACUAUAUGUCAUGUUUUAUUAACGUGAGCACAUUUUAGUAAUGUAAAUAGUAAAAGUUCUAUUUAAAGCAGUCACAACAA